GUAGGUGGCAAGCGUUGUCCGGAAUUAUUGGGCGUAAAGCGCGCGCAGGCGGUCCUUUAAGUCUGAUGUGAAAGCCCACGGCUCAACCGUGGAGGGUCAUUGGAAACUGGGGGACUUGAGUACAGAAGAGAAGAGUGGAAUUCCACGUGUAGCGGUGAAAUGCGUAGAGAUGUGGAGGAACACCAGUGGCGAAGGCGACUCUUUGGUCUGUAACUGACGCUGAGGCGCGAAAGCGUGGGGAGCAAACAGGAUUAGAUACCCUGGUAGUCCACGCCGUAAACGAUGAGUGCUAAGUGUUAGAGGGUUUCCGCCCUUUAGUGCUGCAGCAAACGCAUUAAGCACUCCGCCUGGGGAGUACGGCCGCAAGGCUG
rnacentral:rRNA from 1 species